rnacentral:rRNA from 1 species
AUUGAACGCUGGCGGCAGGCCUAACACAUGCAAGUCGAACGAGUGGCGGACGGGUGAGUAAUGUCUGGGAAUCUGGCUGAUGGAGGGGGAUAACUACGGGAAACGGUAGCUAAUACCGCGUACCAUAAGAUGUGCCCAGGUGGGAUUAGGUAGUUGGUGGGGUAAAGGUUCACCAAGGCGACGAUCCCUAGCUGGUCUGAGAGGAUGACCAGCCACACUGGAACUGAGACACGGUCCAGACUCCUACGGGAGGCAGCAGUGGGGAAUAUUGCACAAUGGGGGCAAGCCUGACGCAGCCAUGCCGCGUGAAUGAAGAAGGCCUUCGGGUUGUAAAGUACUUUCAGUGGGGAGGCGUUAACUGCAGAAGAAGCACCGGCUAACUCCGUGCCAGCAGCCGCGGUAAUAC